UCCCCCCAACCGCGUAAUCCAGCUCCAAUAGCGUAUAUUAAAGUUGUUGUGGUUAAAAAGCUCGUAGUUGAACCUUGGGCCUGGCUGGCCGGUCCGCCUCACCGCGUGUACUGGUCCGGCCGGGCCUUUUCCCUCUGUGGAACCCCAUGCCCUUCACUGGGUGUGGCGGGGAAACAGGACUUUUACUGUGAAAAAAUUAGAGUGCUCCAGGCAGGCCUAUGCUCGAAUACAUUAGCAUGGAAUAAUAGAAUAGGACGUGUGGUUCUAUUUUGUUGGUUUCUAGGACCGCCGUAAUGAUUAAUAGGGACAGUCGGGGGCAUCAGUAUUCAAUUGUCAGAGGUGAAAUUCUUGGAUUUAUUGAAGACUAACUACUGCGAAAGCAUUUGCCAAGGAUGUUUUCAUUAAUCAGGAACGAAAGUUAGGGGAUCGAAGACGAUCAGAUACCGUCGUAGUCUUAACCAUAAACUAUGCCGACUAGGGAUCGGACGGUGUUAUUUUUUGACCCGUUCGGCACCUUACGAGAAAUCAAAGUGCUUGGGCUCCAGGGGGAGUAUGGUCGCAAGGCUGAAACUUAAAGAAAUUGACGGAAGGGCACCACCAGGGGUGGAGCCUGCGGCUUAAUUUGACUCAACACGGGGAAACUCACCAGGUCCAGACACAAUGAGGAUUGACAGAUUGAGAGCUCUUUCUUGAUUUUGUGGGUGGCUGGUGCAUGGCCGUUCUUAGUUGGUGGGAGUGAUUUGUCUGCUUAAUUGCGAUAACGAACGAGACCUUAACCUGCUAAAUAGCCCGUAUUGCUUUGGCAGUACGCUGACUUCUUAAAGGGACUAUCGGCUCAAGCCGAUGGAAGUUUGAGGCAAUAACCGCGCGGGCCCCCCCCCCCCAAAAA
rnacentral:rRNA from 1 species